GGGGUGCUCGAGUGGCGAACGGGUGAGUAACACGUGAGUAACCUGCCCUUGACUUUGGGAUAACUUCAGGAAACUGGGGCUAAUACCGGAUAGGAGCUCCUGCUGCAUGGUGGGGGUUGGAAAGUUUCGGCGGUUGGGGAUGGACUCGCGGCCUAUCAGCUUGUUGGUGGGGUAGUGGCUUACCAAGGCUUUGACGGGUAGCCGGCCUGAGAGGGUGACCGGCCACAUUGGGACUGAGAUACGGCCCAG
rnacentral:rRNA from 1 species